rnacentral:rRNA from 1 species
UGGGGAAUAUUGCACAAUGGGCGCAAGCCUGAUGCAGCCAUGCCGCGUGUAUGAAGAAGGCUUCCGGGUUGUAAAGUACUUUCAGUCGGGAGGAAGGUGUCAAGGUUAAUAACCUUGGCAAUUGACGUUACCGACAGAAGAAGCACCGGCUAACUCCGUGCCAGCAGCCGCGGUAAUACGGAGGGUGCAAGCGUUAAUCGGAAUUACUGGGCGUAAAGCGCACGCAGGCGGUUGAUUGAGUCAGAUGUGAAAUCCCCGGGCUUAACCCGGGAAUUGCAUCUGAUAAUGGUCAGCUAGAGGCUUGUAGAGGGGGGUAGAAUUCCAUGUGUAGCGGUGAAAUGCGUAGAGAUGUGGGGGAAUACCGGUGGCGAAGGCGGCCCCCUGGACAAAGACUGACGCUCAGGUGCGAAAGCGUGGGGAGCAAACAGG